CCUACGGGAGACAGCAGUGGGGAAUAUUGCACAAUGGGGGAAACCCUGAUGCAGCGACGCCGCGUGAAGGAAGCAGUAUUUCGGUAUGUAAACUUCUAUCAGCAGGGAAGAAAAUGACGGUACCUGACUAAGAAGCCCCGGCUAACUACGGGCCAGCAGCCGCGGUAAUACGUAGGGGGCAAGCGUUAUCCGGAUUUACUGGGUGGAAAGGGAGCGUAGGCGGUGAUGCAAGUCAGAAGGGAAAGCCCGCAGCUCAACUGCGGGAAUGCUUUUUAAACUGUAUGACUAGAUUGCAGGUGAGGGAAGUGGAAUUCCUAGUGUAGGCGGGAAAAGCGGAGAUAUUAGGAGGAACACCAGUGGCGAAGGCGGCUUACUGGACUGUAAAUGACGCUGAGGCUCGAAAGCGUGGGGAGCAAACAGGAUUAGAUACCCGGGUAGUC
rnacentral:rRNA from 1 species